UGAAGUUUUCGGAUGGAUUUAAAGCAGCUUAGUGGCGGACGGGUGAGUAACGCGUGGGUAACCUGCCUCACACUGGGGGAUAACAGUUAGAAAUAGCUGCUAAUACCGCAUAAGCGCACAGCUUCGCAUGAAGCAGUGUGAAAAACUCCGGUGGUACAAGAUGGACCCGCGUCUGAUUAGCCAGUUGGCGGGGUAACGGCCCACCAAAGCGACGAUCAGUAGCCGGCCUGAGAGGGUGAACGGCCACAUUGGGACUGAGACACGGCCCAAACUCC
rnacentral:rRNA from 1 species